GCUCCAGUGGCGCAGUUGGUCAGCACGCUGGUACUGAUAAUGCCAAGGUUGUGAGUUCAAGCCUCACCUGGAGCA